rnacentral:lncRNA from 1 species
UGGGCUGAAUGGUGCCCCAGUGGACUUGAUUUCCUCAAGGAACUUAAAUGAGUGGGGUUCGAGUUGGCACCACCCCAGCACAUUUGAGUGGUGGAGUGGGGUGCUUGAGAAUAGGACAUGACUCCUUUCCUUAUCUUGUUUUUUAUGCUUCCCACAAUCUUCAUUUUUUGCGCACACAGGAAAUUCAUUGUCAAUAAUGCAUCCAUGUAUAGGCUAUUUCAAAUUGUGUAUCAUCUUUGUUUCACCCUUUUGGUUGUUGCAGGAUUUUUAAACCCCAUCUUUGGAAUUAAAGUUUGGUGAAAUAUUAUUUACUUCCAGAGGCAGUAUUUGAUUUAUAUGCCUUGCUAUUAAGAAUUUCUUCCA